CUCGACUUUCGGAAAGCGUAAAAAUACACUCGCCUGCAGCUCGAGCAUUUUUACGCUUUCCGAAAGUCGAG